rnacentral:rRNA from 1 species
CCUACGGGAGGCAGCAGUAAGGAAUAUUGGUCAAUGGGGGCAACCCUGAACCAGCCAUGCCGCGUGCAGGAAGACGGCCCUACGGGUUGUAAACUGCUUUUAUACGGGAAUAAACCCCUGCUCGUGAGCAGGGUUGAAUGUACUGUAAGAAUAAGGAUCGGCUAACUCCGUGCCAGCAGCCGCGGUAAUACGGAGGAUCCAAGCGUUAUCCGGAUUUAUUGGGUUUAAAGGGUGCGUAGGCGGCCUAUUAAGUCAGGGGUGAAAGACGGUGGCUCAACCAUCGCAGUGCCUUUGAUACUGAUGGGCUUGAUUACACUUGAGGUAGGCGGAAUGUGACAAGUAGCGGUGAAAUGCAUAGAUAUGUCACAGAGCACCAAUUGCGAAGGCAGCUUACUAAGGUGUUAAUGACGCUGAGGCACGAAAGCGUGGGGAUCAAACAGGACUAGAUACCCUGGUAGUCCACGCCCUAAACGAUGAAUACUCGAUGUUAGCGAUAUACAGUUAGCGUCAAAGCGAAAGCGUUAAGUAUUCCACCUGGGGAGUACGCUCGCAAGAGUGAAACUCAAAGGAAUUGACGG